UACGUAGAGGGCAAGCGUUGUCCGGAAUUAUUGGGCGUAAAGAGCGCGUAGGCGGUCCGAUGAGUCGGCUGUGAAAGUCAGGGGCUCAACCCUUGAAAGCCGGCCGAUACUGUCGGACUAGAGUCCGGAAGAGGCAAGUGGAAUUCCCGGUGUAGCGGUGAAAUGCGCAGAUAUCGGGAGGAACACCAAUGGCGAAGGCAGCUUGCUGGGACGGUACUGACGCUGAGGCGCGAAAGCGUGGGGAGCGAACAGG
rnacentral:rRNA from 1 species